rnacentral:rRNA from 1 species
CCCUUAGAUGUUCUGGGCCGCACACGCGCUACACUGAAGGAGGCAGCGUGUACUCCUGGAUCGAAAGAUUUGGGUAACCCGCGAAUCUCCUUCGUGCUAGGGAUUGAGGUUUGCAAUUAUCCUUCAUGAACGAGGAAUUCCCAGUAAGUGCAAGUCAUAAGCUUGCGCUGACUACGUCCCUGCCCUUUGUACACACCGCCCGUCGCUACUACCGAUUGAAUGAUUUAGUGAGGACUUCGGACUGGGACCGAUGCGGCUUUCGGGUUGCGUCGGUAUUCUGGAAAGAUGUCCAAACUGUAUCAUUUAGAGGAAGUAAAAGUCGUAACA